GCUAAAAUGUCAUUUCUGCUUUCUUUCCUGCUGUCAGCUUAUAAGCUCUAUGGCCUAUAAUACAAUGAAUAAAUUCUUCGGUAUUACACUGAUUUUCUUUUUGAAAAUUGUAUAAAUGAUCUUAUAAUUGAUUAUACAUGUGAUCUCAUUUGGGUUCAUGAUAUUUUCAAUAAUCUCAGAUGAUAGGUAUAUAUGAGGCUAUGUGGGCAGGAAGACAAAUAUAAACCAUUGUGUGUGUUCAGUCCAGUCAUGAUAAAAAGCCUGCUCUCCUGCUUGGAAGAGAAACAACAGAAUCACCUGAAUUAAAGCUUCCACUGCUUCUAGGAUAAACUCUAGACAACAUGAAAUCAUCCGGAGACUUCAUGUUGGAAAUCAGUCUGGAGGUUCUUCAGAAAAUUGGACAUUCCACUACCUAAGGACCCAGCUAUACCUCUCUUUGGCAUAUAACCAACAGAUGCUCCAACAUACAACAAAGACACAUGCUCCACUGUG